rnacentral:rRNA from 1 species
AUUGAACGCUGGCGGCAGGCUUAACACAUGCAAGUCGAGCGGGGUGAUGGUGCUUGCACUAUCACUUAGCGGCGGACGGGUGAGUAAUGCUUAGGAAUCUGCCUAUUAGUGGGGGACAACAUCCCGAAAGGGAUGCUAAUACCGCAUACGUCCUACGGGAGAAAGCAGGGGAUCACUUGUGACCUUGCGCUAAUAGAUGAGCCUAAGUCGGAUUAGCUAGUUGGUGGGGUAAAGGCCUACCAAGGCGACGAUCUGUAGCGGGUCUGAGAGGAUUAUCCGCCACACUGGGACUGAGAAACGGCCCAGACUCCUACGGGAGGCAGCAGUGGGGAAUAUUGUACAAUGGGGGGAACCCUGAUCCAGCCAUGCCGCGUGUGUGAAGAAGGCCUUAUGGUUGUAAAGCACUUUAAGCGAGGAGGAGGCUCUUUUGGUUAAUACCCAAGAUGAGUGGACGUUACUCGCAGAAUAAGCACCGGCUAACUCUGUGCCAGCAGCCGCGGUAA